CCCGCCUCGCCGGAGACCCUCCCGGCGCCGCGUCGGCCGCUGCCGUCCGCGCAGUCGGCCCAGAGCCGGGAGAGGCCGGGCGGCGGUCUUGCCGGCUUGUUUGAGCGGCAGACGCUGGCGGCCGGGAGACGCUGGGGCAGGGGUGGGGCCUUGCGGCUCCGUCGCCGCGACGCGAGCGGAGCCGCGUCUUUCCGCCCUGCGGUGGGGACGCGGGACACGUGGUGGGAAGGCGGAGGUCACGUUCGGCGCAGGGCCUGCCCUGGGCCCGUGACAAGGAUCUGUCAUUCUACCGAAACCUUCACGCUGGGCUGGCAGUAGUUAGUUGCUACGUGGUUUGAAUGGCCUUUCCAAACGUCAACUCACAGAGUCCAUGUAAAUGAUCAAUUCCUCUGGAAACGCCUUCCAAUUUUCUAGACUAGAAUGUGUCCUCUGCCAUCUUCAUGCAAAAUAUCCUUCUGCUUGCUCAUCCUUCAAGACUCAAGAAUCAUCUUUGCUGCCAAGUCUCUUCUGAUAUUCCUAGAAUGCAGACUCCCUGAUGGCCAGCAUGCAGCAUAUCUGUAUCUAGCCUGGCGUAUGGUAGAUACUCUGGACAAUCGCCUUGACUUUGCACCCCAAAUCUGUGAGAUGGCCAAUGCAAACCUACAGGGAGUAAUUUCACUCUUGAUUAUGGAUGCAUCACUAGAACAGCAUUUUGGAAGUGUCUUGGAAGCCUGGAAGCAGCGUCAGAAGAAUCCUCACAGACGUCUGAGAAAUCUUCGUUCUAUGGACCCUCCUUUGCAAGCAGCUUUCUGAUUCCCAUCUAGGAUUCUAAUUUCGGGACUUUUCUUCCACAUGGUCACCAGCCCUGGAGAAAUGAUGCCUGUAUGUGACGAAUGAAAGUAUGGAAGUCCAGAGACUUCAGGAGUCAGUCAAGAUAGCCUAAGGGCAAUGAAAGCAUAGAUCUAAAUCUUCUCAUGGGCCUGAAGACAGAACUUUUACUGUAGGAGCCAUUUAGUCUUUACCUGUUUUCUGGAGAUUAUGAUUCCAAUAUGAUGGAGAAGAUUGCAUUCAUUAAUUUAAUUCAAAGAAAUUGCUCUGGCUGCUGCAAUUAAUAAGUUGGAUUAAUAUUUGUUUACUAGAGGGUCAAUGGUUCCACAUUCACGAAUUCAGUGUUUACGGCGACUUCAUAGAACGUAACUACCGUGGACACGAGAAUCAACUGGUAUCUCCUUUCGUGAACUAGGAAGCUGAGACCUGGAGGCAUGUGCCCGAAGGCUUUCUGUGUAAGUUUAUAGCCUUGUGAGAAGACAAGACUUCACAGAAAUAACUAUGGAAAUUAAAAGAGGCAUGAAAAUUGCUGUGACAUCCUGAUGGACUAACUCCAGCCUGGCGAGAGUUAGGAAAAGCUUCACGAAAGAGCCACGUCCUGAGCUGCCCUGUGGAGAGACCCACAUGGAAAGGAACUGAUGUCUCCAGCCACCAGUUACCAGGGACGGAGGUUGCCCAUGGCCACAUGAGUGAGCGUGGAAGCAGACCCUGCCCCAGUAGAGCCCCAAGAUGACAGCAGCCCCAGGUGACACCUUGACUGCAGACUCGUGAGGGACAGAGGCUGGCCCCCAAGCCAAGCCCAGAGUCCUGACCCACAGAAACCGUGAGAUGAUGUUUUUUAAACUCAUAUUUUGGAAUAAUUUAUUAUGCAGCGAUCGAUAACUUAGAUGGACACCACUUUUGUCCCCUUUCAGGGUUCGUGGAUUAGCUUCCCACCGACCACACCCGAUUAAAGCAAAUCCUAUAACUGGGCUAUCACUGAACAAGGUUAACCGAAUGUCUGCUGCCUAGUAGGAGGGCAGGGAGUCAAGAGUUUCUGAGGGAAACGGCCACAGCGAGAGGGUGUAUAUGCAUCCUGGAGAAUGUGCCCAGGGCAGACCUGGCCUUACUCCCGUCCAAAGUCUCUUACAGUUCGUAUCGUCUAUGGGAAGACUCCAUCUAGACCCCUCACGUGCGGCCACUUCCCCUUCGUAUGAGCUGCUCUUCAGCGAUGGGGCCCUCAUCCAGGCUCUCCCCCCGAGACCCCAACCCUUCUAGUCCGUUUCAUUUGGGGCGCAGGCCGAGGCCAGGCACGUGGAGCUCUCGCUCUUACUUUGUUUGAAGAGUGAUGGUUCCACUUCCUGCUGCUGACUCGCGAAACUUUUGGUUGACUCGUUCCACAUUUUACUUUGUAGGUUUGAAAGCACAGCUGAUGUCAUGGAUAAAUGAGGCCGCCGUUUCUCUCUGAUCAGGGCCCUUAUCCGGUUUCAUUCACUCUUGAGAAGCAACAAAACCUGGUGGUUCAGAGCUUGGCUCUGGAUCUCGACUUCCUGGUUUCAGGUUUUGCUCUCAUGUUUACCAGCUGUGUGACCUUGGGCAAUCUGCUUCACCUCUCUGUGUACCCGUGUACUCAACCAAACA